rnacentral:rRNA from 1 species
UGUGCAAGGUGAAAGAGGCGAACGCACCGCGCGCGUGAGGAAGGCUUCGGGCUGUAAAGCCCUGUCCCCCGUUAAGAAAUGUAAACUCGCUAAUAUCGGGUCUAUUUGACAUAUGUUCCAAAGGAAGCCACGGCUAACUCUGUGCCAGCAGCCGCGGUAAUACAGAGGUGGCAAGCGUUGUUCGGAAUUAUUGGGCGUAAAGAGCACGUAAGUGGAUUUGUAAGUCAGACGUGAAAGCCUUCUGUUCCACGUAAGAAUUGCAUCUGAAACUACAAACCUUGAGUGUAGGAGGGGAGAAUGGAACUUCUGGUGGAGCGGUGAAAUGCGUACAUAUCAAUAGGAACGCCGGCGGCGAAAGCGAUUCUCUGGCCUAUUACUGACACUCAGUGUGCGAGAGCUAGGGGAGCAAACGGGAUUAGAUACCCCGGUAGUCCUAGCCGCCAACGAUGCGCACUAAGUAGAGGGG